UACGUAGGGGGCGAGCGUUGUCCGGAAUCAUUGGGCGUAAAGCGCGUGUAGGCGGCUCGGUAAGUCUGCUGUGAAAGUCCAGGGCUCAACCCUGGGAUGCCGGUGGAUACUGUCGAGCUCGAGUCCGGAAGAGGCGAGUGGAAUUCCUGGUGUAGCGGUGGAAUGCGCAGAUAUCAGGAAGAACACCAACGGCGAAGGCAGCUCGCUAGGACGGUACUGACGCUGAGACGCGAAAGCGUGGGGAGCGAACAGG
rnacentral:rRNA from 1 species